GCCCCCGCCGCCACCGCCCCGACGGCGCCGUUGCAGGAGCAGGAGCGGCCGCACUGGAUUGACGACCAAGAGAAUUCCAGUAAAAGUCCCAGUUGCACAGGGAGAUUCUCUGGAUAACAUGUCAAGGAAGGCAACAACUUGAUGAUAUAAUUCAAGGAAAGAAGUCAAUGAAUGCAAAGUUAAUCCCCUAAUUUUCUCAUCUAAUAUGCAAUAUCCUUUUGUUGUGCUACACUGCUGUUCUACUGAUUAUGAUGGCCAAACCGUGAGUUUUGAUAAUUUCCGCUCUAUUAUCAUGGUAUGGUGGUUGUAGUGGCUUGAACAGACAGUGAAAAGUUCUUCUGUAAUAAUUGUUACUACCUCGGUACAGAAUUAGAUGAAUGAGAAAACAAUGUGCAACUAGAGAGGUUUGGAAAUCUUACUGAAAUAUUAUUUCUGUAAUCGUUCGGUUAAAACAUCUGGAAAUUUAUAUAUAUGUGAUCUUUUUUAU